GCAGACAUCAUUUCGCCUGUCGAACAGCUCGCCAUAAUAAAAAUCGUUUACCAGGUUCACAUGGAGGAAAUCUCACCACAGUCAUCAGCUAAUAAAUAAGGGCAAAUUGCUGAAUUUACAGUCAUGUAGUUGAAUAAUCUCAUGUUACAGCUGAAAGCGAAGGCAAAACUGUGUUUUCUGUUGCAUACAAAACGUUUGGAAGACAAGAUUCAAGUAGGGCAUUGAACAUGAUAUGCAAAUAAAAGGUAAUGUCGGAAUAGCAUUCAAAUGAAAAGCGUCUGUUUGUGAAAGGAGCCCUUGGUCGGUAUUCGUAGUAGUGAUUGAAUCGUCUAAAAACCAAUUUUUACUAUAUUUUGCGUCUAUGCAGGAUGGAGCUUAUCUUCACACAACCAAAGCCCACGAAGUACGUACGUACCAACGCGCUGCGGAGUAACUGGUUAUGGCAAUAUUUUGAACUCCUCCCUGAUCAGCUAUGAUGGGGCGUGGAAUUAAUCGUAUGAAAUGGCAGCUGAAAGGGCGCCACCCGCCCCGUAAACGACGCUCUCGAAUAACAUAUCAACACAAUCAAUGCGGAG